rnacentral:rRNA from 1 species
AGCCUUUUGCGUACGAUGCCACUAGCGGAUCCGCCUGGAUGUGCCAUUACUCGCUUGGCGGAGAGCUUCCCGGAAACACAAAGUCUGUCCGGUUCCCCGGGGAAAUAUGGUUGCGCAGCUGAAACUUUUAGGAGUUGACGGAGAGGGGCCCCCCCGAGUGGGGACUGCGGCUUUUUUUUACUCUCCACGGGAAAACUCUCCCGGCCCCGACACCGUGAGGAGAGACACAUAGAGAGCUCUCUCUCGAGUCUCUGGGUGGGGGGGCGUGGGCGUUCUUAUUUGGGGGAGAGAUUUGUCUGGGUUAUUCCCAUAACAAGCGAGACUCUCUCCUACUAAAUAUACAAGCGAUGAUUAUGUCGCGCUGACUUCUUAGAGGGACACUCGCGGUUCGCCCGCACUAAUCUGAGCACUAACACGUCUGUGAUGCCCUUAAAUGUCCGGGGCUGCACCCGCGCUACACUGGAGGAAUCAGCGCGGUUGUGCCCUUGCCUAAAGGGGUUGGCAAACCCUUGAAAAUCCUCCGUGAUCGGGAUCGGGAAUUGCAGCUAUUUCCCUUGAACGAGGAAUUCCCAUUAAGUGUGAGUCAUCUUCUCACGUUGAUUACGUCCCUGCCCUUUGUACACACCGCCCGUCGCUGCCCGGGACUGAGACGCUUCUAGAGAUUCGGGCACCGCUGUAUCUGGGCCUUUCGGGGCACUGAUGCGGACGAGAAGAGCCUUAACGCAUCGGCUCUGACCUGGGCAAAGUGUACGACAGUUUCUGUAGGUGAGCCUGCGUACGAUCACUGGGCGCAUUCGAUUAGCAGCAGGACUAGUCCGUUUACUGAGGUACUCGGACCUGACGUAGUCAGCUCAGACGCGUGUUUUCUUACGUCGCUAUAGUGAGUCGAUUCAUACGUCGGCGCGCUGCUGUUUUCACAAGGUUGUG